GACUUAAAUCUUCCAUAGAAUAGCAACAAAUUUCCAUGGAGCAUACGGCCAUGGCUGCUUUUGGCCAUGGCAGUCCGUUAUAAAAAAAAAAAUUCUAUUAAAAUUUCAAAGAUGUUCUACACGUUCAAGAAGGCACGACAUAAAGUAUUGAAUUGAGGAAGAAGAAAUAGUGAAAUUGGAGCAAAUAAGUGUAGAAAUUCCUCCGAGUAAAUUAAGGCUAAAAGAGCGACAAGGCGAACGGGUUUGCGAAUAGUUGCUAACAGCCCCAGAUUGUUUGGCAGGUUAAGUAUAUAGCCAGGAUGCUCUGACGUCUGCUGGGAUUGGCAAGUUCCACCUCAUUCCGGAGCUGUGCUGAGUCAUGUAUAGAUAUGUAUGAUUAUGGGUAUGUCAGGGCCCUGUCCUGACUCAUAGCGUCCAGUUCACUUCUUAGAGACUUCUGCAGACAGUGUCCUGUGGUAUGUUUGUCGAGAUGUCGAUAAAGUGAUGUCAGUUGAGUUAUUUGUUGCUUUUAAAAGAGUAUGCAUUGUAGAUGAUUUCAAU